rnacentral:lncRNA from 1 species
CGAAAGGUCACUACAACUGGAUAUGCAACUGCAGAAGAAUGACUUUGGACGCCUACCUCACAGGAUAUAUAAAAAAUGAAUGAAACAACAGCUAACAAGGGGCCAGAAAGUGCUAGUCUCCUGGAGUGUAUGAUACACAAAAAUCAGAUCAAAAUCGAUCAGUGUUAUAAAUGGAAACGUUGAAACUAGAAAGCUAUUAGAAGCAAACAAAGGGUGUCCAAAGUCAUUCUGCAGUUGGAUAUCCAGUUGUAGUGACCUUCCGAGUCUGAACCUGCUCUCUCAGCCAUCACAGCGUCUCCCAACUGAGAACAGCUGAGCAGCUCCCAACUUUCCAUGGAGACAGUGGCCACAUGACCUCAACAUGGCCAAUCCGCAGAUCCCAUCCUCUUUGUCCACAGUGAUUGGCUAAGGCCUGCUCAUGUGACACACUCAGUGCCAAAGGUCAGGUUGUUGUCUUGGAAACAUCCGGGAGAAGAUCUAUUUCAGUUAGGCUGCUGGGGCUGUGGGUGCCAUCUUGUCACCUUGGAGGAAGAGCCCACCUGAGAACGACAUCAACUCAGAGGGAAGUCAGCAGAGCCAAGAGGCCGGGAGAGGUGAUUCCCGGUGACAUCAUCUGGCUCCUGGGUGCAGCCAUGGUAGAGUUGGCCUCGAACGUUGUCCCUGGCAUGGAGGUGACCAGAGGUCACCCUCACAUGUCAGCAGACACCUCCAGCUGUGUCAUUCUUGCUUCUUGUUGGCAAAGUUUGUAGGGGUAGUAUUCUCAGUUGGCAUUCCUAGCUGAGAUGUGUAGCUGGGAGGUCACCACGCCGCAGGGCCUUGGGACCAGUUCUGCCUCCGAGGAGUCCCUUACUGAUGAUCAUAGGCUCCUCAAGGUCAUCAGCCAGGGCAGCUUUGCAGAAGUCAAGGCAGCUGGCCCAGCACAUUCUCACUGGGACCAAGAUGGCUGUGGAGGUCACCCCAACAGGGCAGCAGGGCUCCUGCAGCCCCCAGGAUCUGUACUGCAGGGUCCAUAUGAUGAAGGCCCUUAAUCACCCGAAGAUCAUCAGACCCACGUGGCUGGCACCGAGAACAGGCUGUUCCUAGUCAUGGAUUAAGCCAGCUCGGGAGAGCUAUCCGACUUCACCCUCCAAUUCUCCUUGAAGGGGGAAGAGGCCUGAGGCAAGUUCCAGCAAAUAGGAUAUUCCAUGCAGUGAGGCUUCCAGAAGGAAAUUAUCCACAGGGAUCUGAAGCCAGAGAACUUCCCUGAGGAGGCUCAGCACGACAUGGAAACAACAGACUCUGGCUUUGAUACCAGAUUCACCGUAGGCUGAAAGCUGAUCCCCUUCGGUGGGAGCUCCUCUUACGCAGCCUCGGAACUGUUCCCGGAGGCAAAAGUACGAUGGACUCCGGUGGGCGUGUGGAGCCUGGGAGUCACUGUCUACACCAUGGUGGCCGAGGACUGCCAUCUGUUGGGCAGACUUUUGUGGGGCUGAGGAGGACACUAAUACUCUGUGAACGAUGA